rnacentral:rRNA from 1 species
CUCGUAGGCGGCCACUCAAGUCGAAUGUGAAACCUCGAGGCUCAACCUCGAGCCUGCAUUCGAUACUGGGCGGCUAGAGUCUGGUAGGGGGAUCUGGAAUUCCUGGUGUAGCGGUGGAAUGCGCAGAUAUCAGGAGGAACACCGGUGGCGAAGGCGGGAUCCUGGGCCAGUACUGACGCUGAGGAGCGAAAGCGUGGGAGCAAACA